UGCAAUAUGCUGCAUUCAUGGAAGUUAUACACAGUGCCAUUGGUUCCGAGCGGAGCGUUGUUUCCUCUGAUGCAAUGGACAGGAAGGGCUCAGUUUGUGGUUGUCAUUGUUCAGAAUAUUGAUGAUGUUUUACUCUAUUCUAUGGAUCACUUCACUUUCACUUCUUUAUGUCUUGCCUUGAGUUUAUAUUGUUUAAUUUUAUGUGAAGCUUUUGUUUGUUUUUGCAGUUAAUUUGAUUCCUAACUCAGGAUUUUUGUUCUGUGCUUUCUCUAGGUCCAGGAGUUACCUUCCGUUUUAUAACUUCUCUUGCAUGGAGUAUAGCCGAGUGUGAAAGUGCUGGUGAAAUUGGGAAAGCAUGUCACGCAUCAUCUGCUUUUGAUACUCAACAGUUUGGGAUAUAACUGGAUGGAGCAGUAACUUGGUAUAGGGGGAACCUAAUGGAGCACAAGAAUCUGCAAUACUCUGUUUUUGUUGUGCUUUCAUUUGGGAGGACAUGUACUGUGAAAGUUGUGGCAGAGAUUAUCAUGGACUUAUUUUUGGUUUGGUGUGCUAAGUAAAGAACUACGAAUGUACUUGUUCUGAAUGGUGUCUUUUGAUGCAUGUCUACUUUUCAGUCAGUUGAAGUUUUGGAUAUCUUUUGAUACAAUUGGAUAAGAAAGGAGAGUACAGAUAAUUCAAAUUUCUUCAAUGAAAUUCUAUUUACUAUUUUUAAUCCAGAUAUUUCAAAUUUCUUCAUUGAGUUGCUAUAUACUAUUUUUAUUUUCAGACUUUGUCAUAAGACAUACUAAUUGAAUUGUGAACUACUUUUCUGCAGCGUGGUUUGUCAUAGAGCUUUCAGUUUUUAUUUGGUGAUAUCUAGUAAAUUCCUUUAGUUUCAGUAUUUGUUCAUCAAUUUUGAGAGCAUAUAUUUAUUGAUUUGUUAUUUUUCUCAUUUUUCUCUUUGGUUUUGCAGGAGAGGUAAUCUAAAUGCAAACAAUUCCUUCGUGAUCUUCCUCUUGUUUGAUUUUUAGUUUUUGUUUUGACACUCUUUUUUCCCUGGUUACUUUGGUUUUGAUCUUGAAGUUUG